UGAAUACGAGAUGCUACGGCGUCGAAGCAGUCUAUGUCAUACUUCCAAGAAAAGCUUGCACUGUCAUAAACAAAUAAUGCCUGUACCAUAACCGACACAGGUGGGUAGGUAGAGUAUACUAAGGGGCGCGAGAUAACUCUCUCUAAGGAACUCGGCAAAAUGACUCCGUAACUUCGGGAGAAGGAGUGCCUUAUUUAUAAGGUUGCAAUAACAAGAUCCAAGCAACUGUUUACCAAAAACACAGGUCUCCGCUAAGUCGUAAGACGAUGUAUGGGGGCUGACGCCUGCCCAGUGCCAGAAGGUUAAAGAAGUUGGUUAGCAUCCGCGAAGCUGAUAACUGAAGCCCUGGUGAACGGCGGCCGUAACAAUAACGGUCCUAAGGUAGCGAAAUUCCUUGUCGGGUAAGUUCCGACCCGCACGAAAGGCGUAAUGAUUUGGAUACUGUCUCGGAGAGGGGCUCGGUGAAAUAGACUUGUCUGUGAAGAUGCGGACUACCUGCACCAGGACAGAAAGACCCUAUGAAGCUUUACUGUAACCUGAAAUUGAAAUUGGACUUUACUUGCGCAGUAUAGGUGGGAGGCGUUGAGAAUAUUCUUGCGGGAUUAUUGGAGCCAUCAGUGAGAUACCACUCUUGUAAUGUUAGAUUUCUAACUUUGUAUCAUUAUCUGGUCAAAGAACAGUUUCAGGCGGGCAGUUUGACUGGGGCGGUCGCCUCCUAAACGGUAACGGAGGCGCACAAAGGUUUCCUCUGAACGGGUAGAAAUCGUAUCUAGAGUGUAAAGGCAUAAGGAAGCUUGACUGUGAGACCUACAAGUCGAGCAGGGACGAAAGUCGGUCUUAGUGAUCUGACGGUGCUGAGUGGAAAGGCCGUCACUCAACGGAUAAAAGUUACUCUAAGGAUAACAGGCUGAUCUCCCCCAAGAGUUCACAUCGACGGGGAGGUUUGGCACCUCGAUGUCGGCUCAUCGCAUCCUGGGGCGGUAGUACGUCCCAAGGGUUGGGCUGUUCGCCCAUGAAAGCGGUACGCGAGCUGGGUUCAGAACGUCGUGAGACAGUUCGGUCCAUAUCCGGUGUAGGCGUUAGAAUAUUGAGAGGAGCCUUCUUUAGUACGAGAGGACCGAGAAGGACAUACCUCUGGUGUACCAGUUAUCGUGCCAACGGUAAACGCUGGGUAGCUAUGUGUGGAGUGGAUAACCGCUGAAAGCAUCUAAGUGGGAAGCCCACCUCAAGAUGAGUGCUCUCACAGGGUUAACCUGGUAAGGUCACGGGAAGACCACCCGUUAAUAGGCACUAGGUGGAAGUCCAGUAAUGGAUGGAGCCAAGGUGUACUAACAGACCGAGGGCUUGACC
rnacentral:rRNA from 1 species